rnacentral:rRNA from 1 species
AUUGAACGCUGGCGGCAGGCCUAACACAUGCAAGUCGAACGGUAACAGGAAGAAGCUUGCUUCUUUGCUGACGAGUGGCGGACGGGUGAGUAAUGUCUGGGAAACUGCCUGAUGGAGGGGGAUAACUACUGGAAACGGUAGCUAAUACCGCAUAACGUCGCAAGACCAAAGAGGGGGACCUUCGGGCCUCUUGCCAUCGGAUGUGCCCAGAUGGCAUUAGCUAGUAGGUGGGGUAACGGCUCACCUAGGCGACGAUCCCUAGCUGGUCUGAGAGGAUGACCAGCCACACUGGAACUGAGACACGGUCCAGACUCCUACGGGAGGCAGCAGUAGGGAAUAUUGCACAAUGGGCGCAAGCCUGAUGCAGCCAUGCCGCGUGUAUGAAGAAGGCCUUCGGGUUGUAAAGUACUUUCAGCGGGGAGGAAGGGAGUAAAGUUAAUACCUUUGCUCAUUGACGUUACCCGCAGAAGAAGCACCGGCUAACUCCGUG